rnacentral:rRNA from 1 species
GGUGAACGCUGGCGGCGUGCUUAAGACAUGCAAGUCGAACGGCAGUCUUCGGACUGUAGUGGCGCACGGGUGAGUAACGCGUAACUGACCUACCCCAAAGUCGCGGAUAACGAUUCUAAAGAAUCGCUAAUACGUGAUGUGCUGUCAGAUUGUGUUCUGCCAGUAAAGAUUGAUUGCUUUGGGAUGGGGUUGCGUGCCAUCAGCUAGUUGGUGGGGUAAAGGCACACCAAGGCGACGACGGAUAGCCGGCCUGAGAGGGUGGCCGGCCACAGGGGCACUGGGAAACGGGUCCCACUCCUACGGGAGGCAGCCGUUAGGAAUCUGCCACAAUGGGCGAAAGCCUGAUGGAGCGUCGCCGCGUGAGGGAUGAAGGUCUUCGGAUCGUAACCUCUGAAUCAGGGACGAAAGACACUUCGGUGGGAUGACGGUACCUGAGUAAUAGCACCGGCUAACUCCGUGCCAGCCGCCGCCGUAAGAC